AGAACUUAGCAGAGAUGCUUUGGUGCCUUCGGGAGCUCUGAGACAGGUGCUGCAUGGCUGUCGUCAGCUCGUGUUGUGAAAUGUUGGGUUAAGUCCCGCAACGAGCGCAACCCUUAUCCUUUGUUGCCAGCGGCUCGGCCGGGAACUCAAAGGAGACUGCCGGUGAUAAACCGGAGGAAGUGGGGAUGACGUCAAGUCAUCAUGGCCCUUACGGCCAGGGCUACACACGUGCUACAAUGGCGCAUACAAAGAGAAGCGACCUCGCGAGAGCAAGCGGACCUCAUAAAGUGCGUCGUAGUCCGGAUUGGAGUCUGCAACUCGACUCCAUGAAGUCGGAAUCGCUAGUAAUCGUAGAUCAGAAUGCUACGGUGAAUACGUUCCCGGGCCUUGUACACACCGCCCGUCACACCAUGGGAGUGGGUUGCAAAAGAAGUAGGUAGCUUAACCUUCGGGAGGGCGCUUACCACUUUGUGAUUCAUGACUGGGGUGAAGUCGUAACAAGGUAAGCGUAGCGAG
rnacentral:rRNA from 1 species